rnacentral:lncRNA from 1 species
CAUGAAUGUUCAUAGCAACUUUAUUUGUAAUAGCCCAAAAGUAGAAAGAACACAAAUGUUGUUCAACAGGUGAAUAGUUAAACUAUGGCACAUCUCUACCAUGGAAUACUACACAGAAAUUAAACAUAUUGCAUUACUGAUAUACACAACAGUUUGGAUGCAUCUCAAGGGAAUUGUGCUGAGUGACAAAAGCCAAUCUCUAUGUGUUAUAUACUGUAUGAUGACAUUUAUAUAACAAUUCUGAAAUAAUAAAAUUAUAAGGAUGAAGAACAGAUUAGUGUUUACUAGCUUUUAUGGGUGAAAAAGGAUGACAGGGAGAUGUUUAUAAAGGAAUAGCACAAGGGAUCUUAGUGGUGACGGAACAGUUCCAUAUCUUGAUCAUUGUAGUGGUUACCCAAAUAUACACAUGUGGUAAAAUUGCAUAGACCUACACACAUAAACGUGCACGCACACACACACACACAUACAAAUUAGUGUAUGUAAAACUAGAGAAGUCUGAGUAAUGUCUGUGGAUUAUACAGAUGCCAAUUUCUUGGUUUAUAUAUGAUACUGCAGUUAUGUAAGUUGAUACCACUAGAGGAACUAGAUAAAGGGCAUAUAGCACUUCCCUAUACUCUUUGCAUCUUCCUUUGAAUCUAUAAAUAUUUCAAAAUAAAAGUUUUAAAAGAUCAGUUGGAAUAUACACAUGCUUAUUCCUAUAGUAGUGUUACUAUAUUCAGUUAUUAAUAUAUUCUCAUAGCUUUCUUCAUAUGAAGAUAAGGUAUAGGGAAGAGUCAUAUCUAGUAUUUGGGAAACUGAAAGAAACCCCAGUGGACCCACUUGAGUGUACAUCAUGGCAGGAAAAAAAAAUUGUUUCAGAUGUAUUAUUUUCUGGUACCAUAGAUAAAGAAUAAGGAUAAUGCAAUGGGAACAGUUGAAAUAUUGGCUUGUUUACUUGCAUUUGUAUGUUUGUUUUUAAAUUUUUACCCUGUGCAUUAGUUCAUUCUCAUGCUUCCAUAAAGAAAUACCCAAGACUAGGUAAUUUAUAAAGGAAAGAGUUUUAACUGACUCACAGUUCCGCAUGGCUUCGGAGGCCUCAGGAGACUUACAAUCAUGGUGGAAGGCCCCUCUUCACAGGGUGGCAGGAGAGAGAAUGAGUGCCAGCAGGGGAAAUGCCAGAUGCUUAUAAAACCAUUGGAUCUGUUAUAAAUCACUAUCAUGAGAAUAGCAUGAGGGAAACCACCCCCAUGAUUCAGUCCUCCACCUGGUCCCACCCCUGACACAUGGGGAUUAUUACAAUUCAAGGAGAGAUUUGGGUGGGAACACAAAACCAAACCAUAUCAUUCUGACCCUAGUUCCUCCCAAAUCUCAUGUUCUCACAUUUCAAAACACAAUCAUGCCCUUCCAAUAGUCCCCCAAAGUAUUAACUCAUUCAAACAUUAACCCAGAAGUCCAAGUCCAAAGUCUCAUCUGAGACAAAGCAAGUCCCUUCCACCUAUAAGCCUGUAAAAUCUAAAGCAAGUUAGUUAUUUCCAAGAUACAAUGGGGGUACAGGAAUUGAGUAAAAAUACCCAUUCCAAAUGGGAGAAGUUGGCCAAAACAAAGGGGCUAUAGGCCCAUGCAAGUCCAAAAUCCAAUAGGGCAGUCGUUAAAGCUUAAAGUUCCAAAAUGAUCUCCUUAGGCUCCAUGUCUCACAUCUAUCCAGGUCACAAUGAUGCAAGGGGUGGGCUCCCACAGCCUUGGGCAGCUCUUCCCCUGUGGCUUUGCAGGAUGCAGCCACCCUCACAGCUCUUUUCAUGGGCUGGUGUUGAGUGCCAGUGGCUUUUCCAGGUGCAUGGUGCAAGCUAUUGGUGGAUCUACCAUUCUGGGGUCUGGAGGACUAUGGCCCUCUUCUCAGAGCUCCACUAUACAGUGCCCCAGUGAAGACUCUGUGGGGGAGCUCCAACCCCACAUUUCCCUUCUGCACUGCCCUAGCAGAGGUUCUCCCUGAGAGCUCUACCCCUGCAGCAGACUUCUGUCUGGACAUCCAGGCAUUUCCAUACAUCCUCUGAAAUCUAGGCAGAGGUUCCCAAACCUCAAUUCUUGACUUCUGUGCUCCUGCAAGCCCAACACCAUGUGUAAGCUGCCAAAGCUUGGGGAUUGCACUCUCUGAAACAAUGGCCUGAGCUGUAUGUUGGCCCCUUUUAGCCACAGCUGAAGCUGAAGCAGCUGGGGACGCAGGGUACCAUGUUUCAAGGCUGCAAAGAGCAAGGGGGGGUGCCUGAGGCCUGGCCCACUAAACCAUUUUUUUCCUUCAAGGCCUCCUGGCCUAUAAUGGGAGAGGCUGCAGUGAAGGUCUCUGACAUGCCCUAGAGACAUUCUCCCCAUUGUUUUGGUGAUUAAUAUUUGUAGUGAUAGGAAUAUUCUAUAUCUUGAAAGGAGUUUCUGUUACAUGGUGCACGCAUUUGUCAAUACACAUGAAUUGAUAUACCUAACAGGUUUGUAUAUGAUACAGUAUAUAAUUUUAGCUCCAUUUCUCCCCCAAGAAAUAUAGAAAUAUUAAACUCUACUUCCUGAUAUGCAUGAUAAAGGGUUUAAAGAUGAAGUGCAUUGAUGUCUGUAACUUAUUUUGAAAUGCAAAAAAAUAAUUAUUUUAUAGAUAAGAGCAUUAAUUGAUGGAUAUAUUUUCAUAAUGAAAUGUUGGGGGAAAUACUUGGAAGUGAAUAUAAUCAACUAACUUGCAACCGUAAGUUGGAGAUUGUAUCAAAUUUGUUAGAGGUGUGGACCAAGCCAAAUUAAAUUGUAACUAUAAGUUUUUUAAAAUUUGUGUUGAGCUAAAUUGUAAGGUAAACUGAAAGAAGCUGUGUAAAAGAACCAAGGAUCAUCAUGGUAAAGAGAAUGAACAUGAGGUGUGUGUGUCUGUGCAUGCACACAUGUGUGUGAGAGAAAAAGAGAGUGAGAAGGGGAUAGCUGGGCACAGUGACUCACAAUUGGUAUCCUCAGGACUUGGGAGGUGGAGGUGGGAGGACCACAUGAUGCCAGGAGUUCAAGACCCACCUGGGCAACAUAGUGAGACCCCAUCUCUACAAAAAAUGUAAAAAUAUUAGCUGGGCAUGGUGGCACACGCCUUGUAGUCCCAGCUACUUGGGAGGCUGAAGUGGGAGGAUCACUUGACCCAAGAAAUUCGAGGCUGCAGUGAGCUGCGAUUGUGCCACUGUAAUCCAUCCUGGGUGACAGAGUGAGACCUCAACCCCAGAGAGAGAGAGAGAGAGAGAGAAUAUUUUAAAUUAUUUUGUAAAACUCAACAAUUCCAAAAUAAACUUUAUUCAAGGAAAAAAAUAAUUAAAAUAUGCAUUUUAGAUAUUGGGGUGAUGUCAGCAAGAUGGCAGAACAGGAAUUUUCUCCUGUCAUUUCCCCACUAUCUACAAUUUUGACAACCACUCAAGUAUGAGAGUACCUUUGUGGGAGUCUGGUAGUCCAGCUCACAGAUGGAGCAAAACAAUUACGAGAAUAGGCACAUUGAAAAG